rnacentral:rRNA from 1 species
UAAGGAAUAUUGGACAAUGGGCGAAAGCCUGAUCCAGCCAUGCCGCGUGAAGGACGAAGGCGCUCAGCGUUGUAAACUUCUUUUGGAUGGGAACAAUAACCGAGACUUGUCUUGGCUUGAGGGUACCAUCAGAAUAAGCACCGGCUAACUCCGUGCCAGCAGCCGCGGUAAUACGGAGGGUGCAAGCGUUAUCCGGAAUCACUGGGUUUAAAGGGUGCGUAGGCGGUCUAAUAAGUCAGUCGUGAAAUCGCUGGGCUCAACCCAUGCAAUUGCGAUUGAUACUGCUAGACUUGAAUGGGGUUGAGGCUGGCGGAAUGCGACAUGUAGCGGUGAAAUGCUUAGAUAUGUCGCAGAACACCGAUUGCGAAGGCAGCCAGCUGGGCCUUUAUUGACGCUGAGGCACGAAAGCGUGGGGAGCAAACAGG